GACGAACGCUGGCGGCGUGCCUAAUACAUGCAAGUUGAGCGCUGAAGGCUGGUACUUGUACCAACUGGAUGAGCAGCGGACGGGUGAGUAACGCGUGGGGAAUCUGUCUUUGAGCGGGGGGCAACAUUUGGAAACGAAUGCUAAUACCGCAUAAAAACUUUAAACACAAGUUUUAAGUAUGAAAGAUGCAAUUGCAUCACUCAAACAUCAUCUCGCCUUGUAUUAGCUAGUUGGUGAGGCAAAGGCUCACCAAGGCGAUGAUACAUAGCCGACCUGAGACGGUGGUCGGCCACAUUGAGACGGAGACACGGCACAAACUCCUAGAGGAAGGAGCAGUAGGGAAUCUGGAGGAAUGGACGGAAGUCAGACCGAGCAACGCCGCGUGAGGAAGGAAGGAUGUCGGGUCGUAAAACUCGGUUGGUAGAGAAGAACGUUGGUGAGAGUGGAAAGCACAUCAAGUGACGGUAACUACACAGAAAGGGACGGCUAACUACGUG
rnacentral:rRNA from 1 species